rnacentral:lncRNA from 1 species
CCCAGCGUUCCAGAAGGCAUUUACAGGUAUAUCAGUAUAUUUUAGCAGAGAUUGCAAUAUGUGUAAAGAAAAAGACAAGGAUGCUUCAUCUUAAUCAAAGAAAUUUUCCUCAACUGGAUGGUACUUUUAUAAACAAUAUAGCGUUAUUUCUUUGUGUUAGCUGUAACAUCACACCGACAAGUGUAUAGAUCAUAUGGCGACUUUCCGGCUCCAAGAAAGACCCCAGCUGGCCCCUUCAAGCAUUAUUUUGUGCAUGAGUGGACAACUUGAUAGAACCUCGCACAUUCACUAAGUCCACUUAAUGUUUUCCUCACAUGAAAGAGUUCUACUCCACACCGAGAUUUAGAACCAUCUUACGGAAACUGAACAAAAAAGAAGAAGCUUUCUUUGCCAUUUUCUGUUUGUAAAGAAAAAGCAAUAUUUGAUUUGCUAUAAAUUGCUAUUAAUGAAGUCUUUUCCUCUAUAACAUAUGAACAGCUUAGCUUUUAUAUUUUUAACUUUUAAAUAUGAAAUGGAAUGCCACUUAGAACCUUUUUUUCAGGAUAUCUUCGUGUCUUAACUACGCAGUGCGCUCCCUGGUGACACAUUUAUACAUCCGGGUGAUAUACUAGCUGACGGCUUUCUAUUUAAUUGCAUGCGGUUCAUUAGAGAUUGUGACAGAAAAGGAAAUGUUACAGUGAUAUGUGAUGCUGAAGUGUGUCUUCGUUUGACACCAUCUCGACAAAGUGGGCGAUCUACCUGCUAGCACGGGACCGUAGAUAGGAGAAGAUGAGCCGACAUCUAUGACAUUCUAAAUGCUCUGCAGCAAGCUUCUGGUGACACAAAUACAGCGUCCAAAGACAGAUCAGUGAAAAGAUGGUUAGAUACUGCAGCCACGAGAAUAAAUGAAUCUAACGUUGCCAACGUUACAGAUAGUAAACCCAGCAUAAAGACGUAUUACAUCACAGCGUUAUAUUUUACGUUUACGUCACUGACGUCAAUAGGAUUCGGAAAAAUGUCACCAAAUACCAAUAGAAUUGACAUGCAGGUAAAGAUGAUAUAUUUGGUGGUGACUGCAGUGACGUAGAAUGCUCUGAAAAAUCGUUCUAAUUUGUACUUGCCCUUAGUUACUGUGAUAUUGACAAGAUAGAGUUACACGUGCUGAAAGAAACAAUGGAUAUAUAACCAGAAUUUUCAAAAAGAAUUAAUGGGUAAAAUACAAGUGACAUUCAAUCUUAAGAUGCUAAAUUGUGAUCUCUUCUGACAAAAGCUCGACGAAUGGGACCACAGAUCGGAAAAGAUGACCUGACGUCUAGGGCAUUCGAAUUUUCUCCGCUAUCAGCAAGAAGUGGUAUAGAUACGGCGUUCAAAGACAGCGAGACGAACAGUUGACGGAUGUUUCAUUUCUUCAUCAAAUUCCAGCCAGUACGUCAAGGCCACAGUGUGUUUUCGGUGUAUCUAUAAGGUCAUUCUUAGAAACAUCAGACAGUUGAGCGCCCUCUGGUAGUCGGCGCAUUUCCAGCUUUGAGCGCCCUCUGAAAGUCGGCGCAUUUCCGGGAAGCUGGUGAUACAGCGCCAUCUGGAAAAAAAUGAGACAGACGUCGCUGUCUAACCUCGAGGAAAUCGACUGCAAGUGAAACUAUUUAGCAAAGUAUACGAAUAUAACAUGGAUUUUUAAGAUCUUUCUUGUUGAAGAGAUUUCAUGUAACAUGCUGCUGCCUUCCAGCCGCAUUGAAAUUAUAAAUAUGAGAUUAGUAUUUUGUAUUUUCACAUCCUAAAUGAAAUUCAGCAGCGUUAAAGACAAGCCUCAAAAUAACUGUCUUCUUUUUUAUUUCAGUGAUGGUAAUCAUACCUAAUUUGCAUGAAAAAUAUUAGAUAUACAAGAAUUUAGUUUCAAAUUGACAGUGACAUAUAUUAAGCCAAGACGAUGAGUUAAAUGUCUUAAUAUUUUAUUGUAUUAAUGUAGCAAUAUGUACAUAAGUCAGUGUAUUUAGUUAAAUUUCACGUUUAUUCCGGAAGGGUCUAAAUUGUCCAAUUGAAAAUUUGUGGUAUAGCUGUAUAUUACCAGUAUUAUUAGAAUGUUUUUCACGAAGUGUUUAUGUGUAUAAAAAGGUAGGUCACUAGGUCUAGGUGGGUCUUUAAG